UACGUAGGUGGCGAGCGUUGUCCGGAAUUACUGGGUGUAAAGGGCGUGUAGGCGGGGAUGUAAGUCAGAUGUGAAAUGCCAUGGCUUAACUGUGGAGCUGCAUCUGAAACUAUGUUUCUUGAGUGCUGGAGAGGAAAGCGGAAUUCCUAGUGUAGCGGUGAAAUGCGUAGAUAUUAGGAGGAACACCAGUGGCGAAGGCGGCUUUCUGGACAGUAACUGACGCUGAGGCGCGAAAGCGUGGGGAGCGAAC
rnacentral:rRNA from 1 species